rnacentral:misc_RNA from 1 species
GAUGAAGAACGUAGCGAAAUGCGAUAAGUAAUGUGAAUUGCAGAAUUCAGUGAAUCAUCGAAUCUUUGAACGCACAUUGCGCCCUCCAGUAUUCUGGCGGGCAUGCCUGUUCGAGCGUCAUUACAACCCUCAGGCCCCCGGGCCUGGCGUUGGGGAUCGGCGGAAGCCCCCUGCGGGCACAACGCCGUCCCCCAAAUACAGUGGCGGUCCCGCCGCAGCUUCCAUUGCGUAGUAGCUAACACCUCGCAACUGGAGAGCGGCGCGGCCACGCCGUAAAACACCCAACUUCUGAAUGUUGACCUCGAAUCAGGUAGGAAUACCCGCUGAACUUAAGCAUAUCAAUAAGCGGAGGA